rfam:Candidatus Thiomargarita nelsonii contig_1944, whole genome shotgun sequence.
GAGAGCGCAAUGCGGUGAGAGCUGCACGUUGCGUUCGGGAAGAGGUGGUUGUGCUCCCUCGUGGACAUGGCCACCCACUUCAC